rnacentral:tRNA from 1 species
GAUCCAGUAGCUCAGGAGGUAGAGCACCUGCCUUUUAAGCAGGUUGUCCGGGGUUCGAAUCCCCGCUGGGUCACCA